rnacentral:rRNA from 1 species
GGGCUGCAGUGAGGAAUAUUGGACAAUGGGCGCAAGCCUGAUCCAGCCAUGCCGCGUGCAGGAAGACGGUCCUAUGGAUUGUAAACUGCUUUUAUACAGGAAGAAACACCCCGACGUGUCGGGACUUGACGGUACUGUAGGAAUAAGGAUCGGCUAACUCCGUGCCAGCAGCCGCGGUAAUACGGAGGAUCCAAGCGUUAUCCGGAAUCAUUGGGUUUAAAGGGUCCGUAGGCGGGCUUAUAAGUCAGUGGUGAAAUCUCCCAGCUCAACUGGGAAACUGCCAUUGAUACUGUAGGUCUUGAAUUAUUAGGAAGUAACUAGAAUAUGUAGUGUAGCGGUGAAAUGCUUAGAUAUUACAUGGAAUACCAAUUGCGAAGGCAGGUUACUACUAAUAUAUUGACGCUGAUGGACGAAAGCGUGGGUAGCGAACAGGAUUAGAUACCCGGGUAGUC